UACAGAGGUGGCAAGCGUUGUUCGGAAUUACUGGGCGUAAAGGGCGCGUAGGCGGUCUUCUAAGUCUUGUGUGAAAUCCCUCGGCUCAACUGAGGAACUGCACGGGAUACUGGAAGACUUGAGUUCGGGAGAGGGAAGCGGAAUUCCGGGUGUAGCGGUGAAAUGCGUAGAUAUCCGGAGGAACACCGGUGGCGAAGGCGGCUUCCUGGACCGAUCACUGACGCUGAGGCGCGAAAACUAGGGGAGCAAACGGG
rnacentral:rRNA from 1 species